AGGCAGCAGUGGGGAAUAUUGCACAAUGGGGGAAACCCUGAUGCAGCAAUGCCGCGUGGGUGAAGAAGCACUCCGGUGCGUAAAGCCCUGUCAGCAGGGAAGAAAAUGACAGUACCUGACCAAGAAGCCCCGGCUAACUACGUGCCAGCAGCCGCGGUAAUACGUAGGGGGCAAGCGUUAUCCGGAUUUACUGGGUGUAAAGGGAGCGCAGGCGGUAUGGCAAGUCAGAUGUGAAAACCCAGGGCUCAACCCUGGGACUGCAUUUGAAACUGCCAUACUGGAGUGCCGGAGAGGUAAGUGGAAUUCCUAGUGUAGCGGUGAAAUGCGUAGAUAUUAGGAGGAACACCAGUGGCGAAGGCGGCUUACUGGACGGUAACUGACGCUGAGGCUCGAAAGCGUGGGGAGCAAACAGGAUUAGAUACCCUGGUAGUCCACGCUGUAAACG
rnacentral:rRNA from 1 species